rnacentral:lncRNA from 1 species
CCCCGCUGCUCCAGCAACAACACAAAGUAGAUCCAAGACAUCAUUGUCUAAGUCGUUUAAGACUGUAAAGUGGGACUAUCUGAUUUACUUGUACCCAUGGAUUCAUGAAUGAGAAGGGAGGAUUUACAGAAAAAAAGAGAAAGUAAUUCAAAUCUCAAUUUUAGCACUACCAACCUGAGAGUCAACCCCUGGCAGUUGUGAAGAGAGAUGAUUAUUUGUACUGGCAACGGCUGUGUUCCUACUUCAGCAAUGAAGACCUGAUGUAGGAGGAUGAAGGUGCUCUGCUAACAACAGCUUCCCUCAGAAGUCCCAGCAUCUCUGGUGGGUUGUGUGGUGAUGGCGGGAGGCACAGUGUUAAGGGGGCAGGUUCCCGAAGAAUAUCAAACCCAUCAAGCAUCACAUUUAUUUUAGAUGCUCACUCAACGCCUCGGGAACUUCUCAGCCCUAAUGUCACUGGACGCACCUGUCAUCUUCCUCUGCCUUUGGCUCUCAGGCUAUCUAUGCCUUUAAGAAAGAAUUCCAGAAACCUCCCAAGGUUAAUCAGGUACACCUGAGGCACCGUGGGGACUGCAGAAUCUGAUUAUUAUUCCUGUGCUUCGAGGCCAGCUUCCUCAACCCACUGGAGAACUGCCUUUGAGGGAAGAACAUGUUCAGAGCCAUGUCCGUAGACGCUGAGCUUGUCCCUGCCAGUCCCAGGCCCUGAAGGGCAAGAGAAGCAGAAAAGCCAAAUCACCAGGAUGCAUUUUCCUUUAUUCAGAUUUAAAGAUGGUCAAUAAUGCAAAAAAAAAAAUGCUUAAUAAGCAUAUCUUAUGUAACGGGCUACUCAGAAAAAAAAAAAAACAGAGUUUAUUUUGAAGGGAGAAUGAGGCUGCAGGUGCUUUGAGAGUGUGGUCAGAACAACCCUUAAGAUUCAGACUGUCACACUCUAAAAGGAGCAAGUUGGGAGCCAUUAAUGUUCUGUUACUAUACGAAGGGAUGCUGGAGGUCAUUGUGUUGUUGGUUUUUUUCUUUUUUUUUUUUCUUUUGCGUUCUUUCACUCGCAUUUAAAAUAUUCUUCUAGCAAUAGUCUCCAGUAACCUCAACUAACUUCAGACUCACUGUGUACCUGAGGCUGGCCUUGAACUUAUGAUCCUCCUUCCUCUACCCUCCUAAGUGUUAUGAUUAUAGGCGUGCACCAGCACAGACAAUAUGUUCUUAAUGUAAAAUUCCAUUUCUGACUUGUGUGCCAAGUAGAGACUAAGGCGAUUCUUACAGUAAGCCAACACUGAAGAAGGCAAAGGAGAGAGGAGCCUGUUCUUAAAAGGGGUUCACAGUUUAGUUGAUGAGAAUUGUUUAGUGUCUUAGGGUUUCUAUUGCUUUAACAAAGCAUGAUGACCAAAAGGCACACUGGGGG